rnacentral:tRNA from 4 species
CGGAGUGUAGCUCAGUUUGGUAGAGCACUGCCUUCGGGAGGCAGGGGCCGGAGGUUCGAAUCCUCUCACUCCGACCA